GACUCGGCAACAGCGACUCUUGCGUCUCGGAACAGUAAGAGAUUAUGUGCUGUGUUAUCAGGCAGCCGGCACAUGGCCUUUUACUGCUCAGAGAGGCAGGGGGGUUCCUCACAGGGCUAC
rnacentral:precursor_RNA from 14 species